AUGCCGCGUGUGUGAAGAAGGCCUUCGGNUUGUAAAGCACUUUNNGUUGGGAGGAAGGGNAGNNAGUUAAUACCUUGCUGUUUUGACGUUACCCACAGAAUAAGCACCGGCUAACUCCGUGCCAGCAGCCGCGGUAAUACGGAGGGUGCAAGCGUUAAUCGGAAUUACUGGGCGUAAAGCGCGCGCAGGUGGUUNGUUAAGUCAGAUGUGAAAUCCCCGGGCUCAACCUGGGAACUGCAUUNGAAACUGGCNAGCUAGAGUAUGGUAGAGGGGGGUGGAAUUNCCUGUGUAGCGGUGAAAUGCGUAGAUAUNGGNAGGAACACCGGUGGCGAAGGCGACCCCCUGGACA
rnacentral:rRNA from 1 species